rnacentral:snRNA from 1 species
GUACUCGCUUUGGCAGCACAUAUAUUAAAAUUGGAAAGAUACAGAGAAGAUUAGCAUGGCCCCUGCUCAAGGAUGACAUGCAAAUUCAUGAAGCAUUCCAUAUUUUU